AGGAAGAAGCUUGCUUCUUUGCUGACGAGUGGCGGACGGGUGAGUAAUGUCUGGGAAACUGCCUGAUGGAGGGGGAUAACUACUGGAAACGGUAGCUAAUACCGCAUAACGUCGCAAGACCAAAGAGGGGGACCUUCGGGCCUCUUGCCAUCGGAUGUGCCCAGAUGGGAUUAGCUAGUAGGUGGGGUAACGGCUCACCUAGGCGACGAUCCCUAGCUGGUCUGAGAGGAUGACCAGCCACACUGGAACUGAGACACGGUCCAGACUCCUACGGGAGGCAGCAGUGGGGAAUAUUGCACAAUGGGCGCAAGCCUGAUGCAGCCAUGCCGCGUGUAUGAAGAAGGCCUUCGGGUUGUAAAGUACUUUCAGCGGGGAGGAAGGGAGUAAAGUUAAUACCUUUGCUCAUUGACGUUACCCGCAGAAGAAGCACCGGCUAACUCCGUGCCAGCAGCCGCGGUAAUACGGAGGGUGCAAGCGUUAAUCGGAAUUACUGGGCGUAAAGCGCACGCAGGCGGUUUGUUAAGUCAGAUGUGACAUCCCCGGGCUCAACCUGGGAACUGCAUCUGAUACUGGCAAGCUUGAGUCUCGUAGAGGGGGGUAGAAUUCCAGGUGUAGCGGUGAAAUGCGUAGAGAUCUGGAGGAUACCGGUGGCGAAGGCGGCCCCCUGGACGAAGACUGACGCUC
rnacentral:rRNA from 1 species